GGGCAAACGAUCAGUGGCCGAAUUCCGUAGCUUAGAGAAGCACCGCAGAGUUGCCUUCGGUUUCAACCCAGCGAAAGCCUAGAUCUCGGGCAAAGCGGAUAGCCUGCGCAAAAGCCAGGGCCUCCGCUGAUAGAGGACAAGCCUGGAGAUUGAUAAAAAGAGCCGCAUCAAAGUUAGGACGGACCCACAAAUCAGUAGGAGCCUUCCAGAACAGCGGCGCAAAAGCCUCAGAACCAACACGAUGCAACAAAAGGGUAUCCAACUCGCACAGAAAUCCCAAAAUAGAGAUAUCGAAACUAUUGGAGGCUCGGGGAUUGUCGAGGAUUAUCAUUACACUAUCAAACUUAAUUUUGGUACCUUUUGAAAAUGUAUAUAUCAAAGUAUGGCAUGUAUAGGCUAGAUAACUUUGAAUGUGUUUUAAGAUGUGUAUAUCUAGCCAUGUGAUAUGGCUUGGUUAUGGAUGAAAUUAUGAAUGAAUUUUGGUA